rnacentral:rRNA from 1 species
CCUACGGGUGGCAGCAGUGGGGAAUAUUGGACAAUGGGCGAAAGCCUGAUCCAGCCAUGCCGCGUGUGUGAAGAAGGCCUUCGGGUUGUAAAGCACUUUCAGUGGGGAAGAAAGCCUUGGGGCUAAUACCCUCGAGGAAGGACAUCACCCACAGAAGAAGCACCGGCUAACUCCGUGCCAGCAGCCGCGGUAAUACGGAGGGUGCGAGCGUUAAUCGGAAUUACUGGGCGUAAAGCGCGCGUAGGCGGUCUGAUAAGCCGGUUGUGAAAGCCCCGGGCUCAACCUGGGAACGGCAUCCGGAACUGUCAGGCUAGAGUGCAGGAGAGGAAGGUAGAAUUCCCGGUGUAGCGGUGAAAUGCGUAGAGAUCGGGAGGAAUACCAGUGGCGAAGGCGGCCUUCUGGACUGACACUGACGCUGAGGUGCGAAAGCGUGGGUAGCAAACAGGACUAGAUACCCUAGUAGUC